UGACGCAGCAACGCUCAGUGAGUGAUAGAAGGCCUUCGGGUCGUAAAGCCCUGUCAGGAGGGAAGAACCGGUUCGAUACUAAUAAUGUCGAACCCUGACGGUACCACCAAAGGAACCACCGGUUAACUCCGUGCCAGCAGCCGCGGUAAUACGGAGGGUGCAACCGUUGUUCGGAAUUAUUGGGCGUAAAGAGCGGGUAGGCGGUUCGGUAACUCAGAUGUGAAAGUCCUGGGCUCAACCCUGGAAGUGCAUUUGAAACUACCGCACUUGAUUACGUAAAAAGAUGUUGGAAUUCCCGG
rnacentral:rRNA from 1 species